rnacentral:rRNA from 1 species
AUGGAUGAGGAUGAGGAUGACGGUGGCGCUGAACAGUAUGUCUAUACUGGCGCCUCCUUAGGGUUUGAGCGUCAUGAGUCGGUGCCUGAAUUGUCGUCUCAACGUAUUAUGGACGACCUUCCGGUGCAUAGAUCAUCGAUGGUGAAGAAGUGCUACGCCAGGAGUAUAUAUACGAUGAGUGGCCGGAGUGUCAGGCCCAGACCCACAUGUCAUCGGUGUAACUAUUUACACUCCGAAGGACGGUAUAUCCUGGUAGUAGUACUAGUAGAAUUGAGAUUUAAUGCACUUUCUUCCCCGUCUUCCACUCGUAUUCCUCCUCUCUACUUCUUCCUCCUCUCUUACCCAUCGUCGGCCGCACACCAUUUACCCCCGCUCACUGCUCGCCCGCCCGCGCCAUCUUCCUUGAUCUGUAAUCGUAUGGACCUACUCAGCACCGUCCGUCUGGCUGCAUGCUUGGUGUCUUUGUACCAUCUACUCGUCUACAACCGGCCGGCUCUUUUCAAGACACCCUGCUUGCUGAGGCCCGAUCCUCGCAGGUGGCCCAGACACCGAGUUGACGAUCCUAUGGAGGUUGCCGUGGUGCCCCUCGACAUGCUACCACUACCCGUCCACCUGUCCUUCCUGCGCGACCACUACUGGGCGGGCAUGAAGGCCAAUUGGAUCGUCCUCAUCCACCAAUUCGGUAGUCCGUGGCGUCUCGUGGAUAUCUACACCCAGCGAGAGAUCACCCUUCUAUCGUUGGAUACCGCCGCCAUCGAGCCUCACGUCCCGCCACACACUCCUGCCUACUACACACGAGACGCGUCAAGCUUUUGGCUCGACCUCUCAGACGCAAAUGCGCUGGCCUUCAUGAUUCCAGGACCUGGAAUCAUACCAGCCGAUGGGUGGUGGUUUAUCCCUCGCUCAGCUGACAACGUCGAAAACCCACCCAUUGCUCCCACUCCCACGACUCCUCGUGGCCACCAACUAGUCUCCCCCACCUUCUUCCCCUUCCCCACUGCAGCACCUCCCUCCCACCGCCGCACCACCUCCUUCCCGCAUCGCCACACCACCUCCCUCCACUCGCCGCCGGGGGGCCGAGCCACCGAGCUUCCACGACCUGCUCCGGCUUCUUCCCUAAGCCACCGGCCCACCCCUCCACCUCCUCCUUCUAAUUCGAGCACGCCCCCUCCUGGUGAUGUGCGGCCACACGGAUCUCAUGCCCGACGACGGGCCCCUGACCCCGCGCCGCCCUGCGUCGGUGGCGCCGCGCGGGUUGCAUUCGACGGCCGGAGGAGCAUGGACAUCCGCCGACUUCCUGCUGGUCGCCGCGGCUGGAUCCACCCUUCCCACACCCAGAUCCGGCGCGGCCCUACCCCAGUCCCACGGUGGCGCUCGCCGAUUCGUGCCAUCCCCUCUGCCACCGUGGCUCACGGCCAGCGCGACCCGUCCCCCGCAGCCGGAUUCGUCCGUCCCGGCCCCGUACGCAGCUGCGGGCGCCAGGCUGGCCUCCCACCUCCAGGCACACCGAGCCGCCACACCCCCUCCAAGCUAGCUGCCCCAUCCCAUCCCCCACAACCGGAGCCUCCGACGACACUCCAAGCAAUGGAUCGAGGCAUCCCAGGCCAGAUCCCGUCGCCACACUUCCCUGGAGGUGAGGGAUCCCGAGCGGCCUCCCCCGCUCCGACGUUUAGUCCGACGAUGCUCCGCCUGCAGUGCACUUGUUGGGCGCGUGCAGAAACAUCCCCUCCCCGCUCCGCAGUGCACCUCACCAUGCGGUGCGGAUCACAAGCUACUCUGGAUCUGGGAUUCCGGUGUGCCAGGAACUUCCACGCUGCUCGGUGUCCCCUAUGCACCCGUGGAGGAGCCCCCACCCUGCCUCCCCCCGAGCCCUUCAUCUCUACAGUGUCGGCGGCCGUUGAAUCCUAG